AAUGAACGCGGCGGCGUGCCUAACACAUGCAAGUCGAGCGAGAAAGUCCCCUCGGGGGCGAGUAAAGCGGCGCACGGGUGAGUAACGCGUGGGUAACCUGCCCUUGAGUGGGGGAUAACCAGCCGAAAGGCUGACUAAUCCCGCAUACGACCGGCAGACACAAGUCUGUCGGGGAAAGAUGGCCUCUGCUUGCAAGCUAUCGCUCUUGGAUGGGCCCGCGUUGGAUUAGCUAGUUGGUGGGGUAACGGCCUACCAAGGCUGCGAUCCAUAGCUGGUUUGAGAGGACGACCAGCCACACUGGAACUGAGACACGGUCCAGACUCCUACGGGAGGCAGCAGUGAGGAAUAUUGCGCAAUGGGGGAAACCCUGACGCAGCGACGCCGUGUGAGCGAUGAAGGCCUUCGGGUCGUAAAGCUCUGUCAGAGGGAAAGAAAGGGUCGGCGGAAUAAUACCCGCCGACAUUGACGGUACCCUCGGAGGAAGCACCGGCUAACUCCGUG
rnacentral:rRNA from 1 species